AUCCCAUGGUGAGGACAACUUCUAGUGUAUCCCUUCAGGCGCUCCCAAGCUUCACUUAGAGAUUCUUGACCACCUUGCAUGAAAGAGUUUAUAUCACUUAUGUACUU
rfam:Arabis alpina cultivar Pajares Aa.chr2_contig_2117, whole genome shotgun sequence.